rnacentral:rRNA from 1 species
AUGAGUUUGCCUUGUUCAGAUCAAAACAUUAGGCCGAGGAAAAUGAAGAAUGCAACUUUGCCUCCUGGGGUGGCAGUCCUGCGGUGUUGGUGUGGCGAUCUUUGCAAGGUGAAGGAGGUGACGGAUUUUUCUGAUUGGUUGGGCAUGAAGUUUUUCAUGUGCGCCAAUUAUGAGGAAGAUCCUGCCGUAGCUCUUUCAGAGUACGACAAGCCUCCGUCUCCUCCGCCUCUGUGCAUGUACUAUCGUUGGAUUGACACGGAGAAGCCGGCUUGGGCAGUGACUGAGAUUCGUGAAAGAAGUCGUCGUGCGUGGAAUAGUUUAUUUGCGGAAGAGCGACGCGAGAAGGCGGAAGCUGAGGAGAAAGCAGAGCAAGAGAGAGAGUUAAAAGAAUACUAUGCGGAGCAACACCGUUUUUUUCAGGAAAUGGGAAAAAAAACAGGGAAGAGGCUCGUCGCAUGGAGGAGCAGGAACGACAGCGAAAGGAGGCUCGUGAGGCUGAGAGGCAGAGAAAGAAAGAAAGGGCUCGCGAGGCCAAGGCAGCAGAAGAAGCUGGCGAUGGAAAAGGAAAAUAUCCACGCUGGACUCAGUAGAUUCUUGUGGUAG